rnacentral:lncRNA from 1 species
UUCCCUUCGGCCUUGCAGACAACACUGCAAGAAGAGGCUUCGUAACUCAACCACAUCAUCUAUACAAAGGGCAAAAAGAAAAGGAAAUUGAAUUGUGUGUAUGCAUACACUGGAAGACACUGCAGACCAGUUCCUAAUGCUUCUUUAGGUCUUACAGCCAUCGGUUAAUCCGUGAGCAGGAGAACGGAGAAAAACAAAGUGUAGAUCUUAGUCUCUAAGGCAUUUCAUCAAUCAUGUAAAGAUCUAAAGAUGAAGCGGUUCUGGAUUUGGGUUGGGAAAUUGGCCGAGCAAUUAUGACCAGGCUGCACCAAUAAGUCCUUGCCAACAUGUAAAUUAUCCAGUCAAUAGAAAUGGUAUACCUUCGUAAAUAACCUGUCCUAUUUAGACAAAUAAAUUUGUAAUCUUUUAUUAAUCCAGGACAAAGUGAGAUGGCAAGGUCUUCAGAAACAUCCAGCCGACAGUCUCAAAUUAGAG